AUGUUUGAUGAGGUUCCAAUUGAAGAAAGAGAGAGGAAGCUCAUUGAUGGAGGACUUGAUAUUUCUCGAAUAGCAAACCUAAAUCUUGAAUGCUGUCACAACAUCUGGGGAGUCUUUCUCUAGAGACAUUUGGUUCUGCAGGAUGUUCUGAAUAGGCAUCAAGCAUGGUUGAAAGCAGGAGGAGUUUAUGAAGAUCCAUCACACAGCCAGUUUGUAAAGCAAUACGCCAAGCAGGAGUUUAAUGUGAUAAUAUGGCAAUGUACGACUAAAAACCGUCCAUGUGCAUUAAUGCUGUAAGAAAGCAAGGUGAGAAUGUGCUUAAUGCCAUGCUUAAAAAGUCUUCGGAACUCUGGAUUUUCGUGUCAAGUACCUGUUACA